AUUGAACGCUGGCGGCAGGCCUAACACAUUCCAGUCGCACGAGUGGCGGACGGGUGAGUAAUGUCUGGGAAACUGACUGAUGGAGGGGGAUAACUACUGGAAACGGUAGCUAAUACCGCAUACCAUCAGAUGUGCCCAGAUGGGAGUAGCUAGUAGGUGGGGUAAUGGCUCACAUAGGCGACGAUCCCUAGCUGGUCUACGAGGAUGACCAGCCACACUGGAACGGAGACACGGUCCAGACUCCUACGGGAGGCAGCAGUGGGGAAUAUUGCACAAUGGGCGCAAGCCUGAGGCAGCCAUGCCGCGUGUGUGAAGAAGGCCUUCGGGUUGUAAAGCACUUUCAGCGAGGAGGCGUUACUCGCAGAAGAAGCACCGGCUAACUCCGUGCCAGCAGCCGCGGUAAUUC
rnacentral:rRNA from 1 species